CUUAAAUCAUUUUUUGUGCUUAUUUAGAGAUAAAGUUCUAUUAGUGAACUGAUUCAAAAUCAUGAAGAACUUUUCUACUCUUGCUGUCUUUGUAUUUUCCCUCUUCAUUAUUCUUGUUACUACAACAAAAGGGGCAAAAGUGUGUCUAUUUUCCUUUGAAGUCCCCCAACCUUGUGAUUCAAAUAAUUGCAAUAUCCAAUGCAAGCAACAGUUUGGAGCAAAGCCACCAGGUGCUGUUAAAGGGCCACUUCUUGGAGGAAAUUGCAUUGGUGAAAAUUGUUUUUGUUCUUUUUGUUGCAAAGAGAAAUGUGCUGAUCUUCAUUCUUAAUGGAAUAUAUGAGUACUUUUUUUUUUUAA